rnacentral:misc_RNA from 1 species
GGAAGUAAAAGUCGUAACAGGGUUUCCGUAGGUGAACCUGCGGAAGGAUCAUUCAUAAUAAGUGUUUUAUGGCACUUUUUUAAAUCCAUAUCCACCUUGUGUGCAAUGUCAGGGUUGGUCUCUUUUGGUCAGCCCCAAACAUCAACUAUUAUCUCAACUCUUUGUCUGAAAAAUAUUAUGAAUAAAACAAUUCAAAAUACAACUUUCAACAACGGAUCUCUUGGCUCUC